rnacentral:rRNA from 1 species
CCUACGGGGCGCAGCAGUGAGGAAUAUUGGUCAAUGGGCGAGAGCCUGAACCAGCCAAGUCGCGUGAAGGAUGACGGCCCUACGGGUUGUAAACUUCUUUUGUCAGGGAGCAAUUGGGUCCACGCGUGGGCUUAGCGAGAGUACCUGAAGAAAAAGCAUCGGCUAACUCCGUGCCAGCAGCCGCGGUAAUACGGAGGAUGCGAGCGUUAUCCGGAUUUAUUGGGUUUAAAGGGUGCGUAGGCGGAAUAUCAAGUCAGCGGUAAAAAUUCGGGGCUCAACCCCGUCGUGCCGUUGAAACUGAUGGUCUUGAGUGGGCGAGAAGUAUGCGGAAUGCGUGGGGUAGCGGUGAAAUGCAUAGAUAUCACGCAGAACUCCGAUUGCGAAGGCAGCAUACCGGCGCCCAACUGACGCUGAAGCACGAAAGCGUGGGUAUCGAACAGGAUUAGAUACCCGGGUAGUC